AUACGGAGGGUGCAAGCGUUAAUCGGAAUUACUGGGCGUAAAGCGCACGCAGGCGGUCAAUUAAGUCAGAUGUGAAAGCCCCGAGCAUAACUUGGGAAUUGCAUCUGAAAAUGGUUGGCUAGAGUCUUGUAGAGGGGGGUAGAAUUCCACGUGGAGCGGUGAAAUGCGUAGAGAUGUGGAGGAAUACCGGUGGCGAAGGCGGCCCCCUGGACAAAGACUGACGCUCAGGUGCGAAAGCGUGGGGAGCAAACAGGAUUAGAUACCCUGGUAGUCCACGCUGUAAACGAUGUCGAUUUAGAGGUUGUGGUCUUGAACUGUGGCUUCUGGAGCUAACGCGUUAAAUCGACCGCCUGGGGAGUACGGCCGCAAGGUUAAAACUCAAAUGAAUUGACGGGG
rnacentral:rRNA from 1 species